UACGUAGGGUGCAAGCGUUAAUCGGAAUUACUGGGCGUAAAGCGUGCGCAGGCGGUUAUGUAAGACAGAUGUGAAAUGCCCGGGCUUAACCUGGGAACUGCAUUUGUGACUGCAUGGCUAGAGUUUGGCAGAGGGGGGUAGAAUUCCACGUGUAGCAGUGAAAUGCGUAGAUAUGUGGAGGAACACCGAUGGCGAAGGCAGCCCCCUGGGUCCAAGACUGACG
rnacentral:rRNA from 1 species